GGAACCAGGACAAUGUCUAGAUAUAUAUAUUUAUAAAUGCAAAGGUCAACAAAUAUGGCUGACUUCACUUAUUUAUAAUAAGGUCUGGAUAAUUUAUAUAUAAAUGCAAAGCUCAAUGACUAUGGCUAUGGCUUCACUUAUUUAUAGUAAGAAAGAGCAAUUGCUACUUAUAGUAAGAAAGAGCAAUUGCUACUUAUUCUAUAUGGUAUAUGCAAUUAUCCAUUAUGUCUGCAAACUCUUUUUAAGUUUCAAUGUCAGUUCUCUCACUACUCCCACGCCCAACAAGAGAUAAUCAGAGAAACUCUGAGAUAAUGGGUGUACUCUCACUAAACAAGGGUUUCUUCCUGUGUAUUCUUGCAAGCAUUAUUAUGAUUAUAGGCGUAAGUAUGGGACCUGCAGCUGGGCUCAUCCAUCAUUGCUCAGUAUGGAAAUGGAAUUAAGUGGAAGUGGGAUAGGAGCAAGGAUUGGUGUGGCACAAUAUGCAGCAGAUGUGAGAUCACUGCAUACAAUUGUGCUAGAUAUUUACAAAGGUUUCAACACUAAGCCAUUAAUGAUAGCACCAGGAGGCUUCUUUGACAUGAAUUGGUUUAGUGAACUUGUCUCUAGAACAGAGCCCCACUUGGGGAUGUGAUCACUCACCAUAUAUGUAAUCUUGGACCAGGUACAAAAAAUCCCGCUAACAUGGUGUUUAGGGAAUUGAUCGUGUGCUGUAUGGAUAACCAUGUCAAUUGAGAGUUUUCCCUUUCUUGUUUCCUUAAAACUGAACUCUCAUCCUCUAUGUACGUGACGAUGAGCAUUUAGUAGAGGAGAUCCUGGAUCCUUCUUAUCUAGAUGGAGAGGCUAACGCAUUCUGUAGCCCUCAAAAAAUCCUUUGAAGUUCUGAAACCAAGCAAAGUAUUGGGCUGGUGAAUCUGGGGUGUGGAUCACGGCGGGGGCAAUCUUGUUUCGAAUGCAUUUGUUAAUAGCUUUUGGUAACAGUUUAGCUCUUGUUAAUUUCAUGUUUCUAUCACCUUUUUCUCUUAACACAUUUAAUGUGUGUAUUGGUUUCUUUUAUCCCUACGUUCUUGUCACAAUUUCAUUAACAGGUACCUAGAUCAGCUCGCAAUGGCUGCAAAUUUUGAUACCAAGGUUUAUUGCAGACAGAGCUUGAUGGGUGGAUAUUAUGGCCUGCUCAAUGCAACCACUUAUUUACCAAAUCCCGACUAUUACAGGAUACAUUUUGUUGUGCUAAUUAAAAUCAAGUGAUCCCUGAUCUAACUUGAAUCUCACUGAUUUGUUGUAACAUAGUUAUUGGGAUUUGCAAAAGUCAAGUAUUUCUUUUGCCAACUUGGCAUUGUUAACUUGAUAGUCUCUAUGUUAUUGCAGUUCGCUCCUCUGGCACAAAGUGAUGGGAGCCAAGGUUCUCUCGACAAGCUUCUCUGGGAUGAGAAAAAUUUGAGCAUAUGCACACUGUGCUAAACAUUCAAUGCGGAUUACUUUUUCUCUCCAUUGGAGGGGAUUGCUGUGCUUUUGAUCAACCUUGAUGGCAACACCACAGUGCACUUCCGUGUCACCAUCAACAAGCACUUAACAUUAGCUCUGAAUAUGGAAAUGUGUCUCCUCAAACAAACUUCUUUAAGAUGACGCGAAUGCAAGAAUCUAAUGAAACAACCAGGGAAGAAUAUCAUCUCACUGCAAAAAAUGGAGACUUGCACACCCCAACCAUGCUUUUUAACUGGAGAACUCUCACUCUAGAUCCACAAGGUGGACUACCUUCGAUGGAGCCUAUAAGAGUAAGCUCUCAUGGAUCCAUUACUGUUGCCCCAUAUUCCAUUGUGUUUAUUCACAUGGCCUAUAUCUAUGCCAUUGCUUGUGGGUAGUGAAAGUGGCAUAUGUUAGAAUUUGAGUUCAUAUUUGAGAUUUCAAUUGGUUGUAAGCUGUAACAAAUGUGAAAUAAAGUUUAUGCAAAAGAUCCCCAGUGGGGGCUUACCUGAUUAAUAGGUGAGCAUUGUACAUGCACUUAUUAACUU